ACGAGCUCUAGCUCUUGCCGCCCAUACUUUCCGUCGUCGACUUCGACUCCGAUUCCGGCCAAAUCCGGCCACAAUUUUUACACCAUUCUCUUCCUCUCUUCAUGCAUGGGCUUUCUAUUGAUAUAUGCUUCAAGACCUAUCAUCAAGUGUGCUCGACGAAUCGAAGGAGAGAAGAUUGAGUGAUUUUCUGACUAUUUUUCAAAUUUCGGCCAAACCAUUGAGAAUUUGGAGAAACCCCAAGGUAAUCCGGUUGAGCAAGCUUCCGAGGACAUUCCCGAGACGGGACUCACCUAGUCACCCUUUAUUGGGCUCUUUGGAUUUCCGUUUUGCCCAGGUAGUAGAUUUCGCUGAGGUCGGACCGCACCACGUUGAGGCAUUCUCCUUAUCCACCUUCAUCCAUCUUGACUUGUAGGGUUUGUUCUCUUUCGUACUCUUACGUUUCUUACUUAAUUGGACCGUGUAAUUUAUGCUUUGAUGUAACCAUAAAUUGAGUAUUGGAUUCCUAAGUUGUAAUUGUUGGGUUAGAACCCUCGUAUUUGGUUGGUGGUGGAUGUUUU